ACACAUGCAAGUCGAACGGCAGCACGGGUGCUUGCACCUGGUGGCGAGUGGCGAACGGGUGAGUAAUACAUCGGAACAUGUCCUGUAGUGGGGGAUAGCCCGGCGAAAGCCGGAUUAAUACCGCAUACGAUCCAUGGAUGAAAGCGGGGGACCUUCGGGCCUCGCGCUAUAGGGUUGGCCGAUGGCUGAUUAGCUAGUUGGUGGGGUAAAGGCCUACCAAGGCGACGAUCAGUAGCUGGUCUGAGAGGACGACCAGCCACACUGGGACUGAGACACGGCCCAGACUCCUACGGGAGGCAGCAGUGGGGAAUUUUGGACAAUGGGCGAAAGCCUGAUCCAGCAAUGCCGCGUGUGUGAAGAAGGCCUUCGGGUUGUAAAGCACUUUUGUCCGGAAAGAAAUCCUUGGCUCUAAUACAGUCGGGGGAUGACGGUACCGGAAGAAUAAGCACCGGCUAACUACGUGCCAGCAGCCGCGGUAA
rnacentral:rRNA from 1 species